UCCUUCUCCUCGCGCAGCAGCUUGUGGAUCUGGUUGGCCUUGAUGCGCUCCGACAUCAGCUUGAAGUUGGCGUCGUCCUUCUCGCGCAGCUGCUGCAGCAGCCGCAGGUUCUGCUCCUGCAUGUCCUCGAAGGCCUGCCCCGUCACGUCCAUCUCCGACAGCAGCGCCUCCUCCUCCUGCCAACGGGGACGGGGCGGGCGUCGGGACAAGGCGGCAAGAUGGCCGCCGGGACAAGAUGGCCGCCGGGGCAAGAUGGCCGCCAUGGCAAGAUGGCUGCCAGGACAAGAUGGCCGCUGGGACAAGAUGGCCACCGGAAAAAAAAAAGAUGGCUGCCAGGACAAGAUGGCUACCAGGACAAGAUGGCCGCCAGGACAAGAUGGCCGCCAUGGCAAGAUGGCCUCCAGACAAGAUGGCUACCGGGACAAGAUGGCUGCCGGGACAAGAUGGCCACCAUGGCAAGAUGGCCAUUAGGACAAGAUGGUUACCGGGACAAAAUGGCUGCCGGGACAAGAUGGCCACCAGGAGAAGAUGUCUGCCAGAACAAGAUGGCUGCUGGGACAAGACGGCUGCCAG
rnacentral:lncRNA from 1 species